rnacentral:rRNA from 1 species
UCGAGGAUCUUCGGCAAUGGGCGCAAGCCUGACCGAGCGACGCCGCGUGUGCGAUGAAGGCCUUCGGGUUGUAAAGCACUGUCGAGGGGGAUAAAAGCCCGCAAGGGUCUGAUAGAUCCCUGGAGGAAGCACGGGCUAAGUUCGUGCCAGCAGCCGCGGUAAGACGAACCGUGCGAACGUUGUUCGGAAUCACUGGGCUUAAAGGGCGCGUAGGCGGUUUGCCAAGUCAGGGGUGAAAUCCUGCAGCUCAACUGUAGAAGUGCCUUUGAUACUGGCGAACUCGAGGGAGGUAGGGGUGCGUGGAACUUCUGGUGGAGCGGUGAAAUGCGUUGAUAUCAGAAGGAACGCCGGUGGCGAAAGCGACGCACUGGACCUUUUCUAACGCUGAGGCGCGAAAGCUAGGGGAGCAAACGGGAUUAGAUACCCCCGUAGUCC